rnacentral:rRNA from 1 species
UGGGGAAUCUUGCGCAAUGGGCGAAAGCCUGACGCAGCGACGCCGCGUGAGUGAUGAAGGCCUUCGGGUUGUAAAGCUCUGUGGAGGGGGACGAAUAAGGGUUGGCUAACAUCCAGCUCGAUGACGGUACCCCUUUAGCAAGCACCGGCUAACUCUGUGCCAGCAGCCGCGGUAAGACAGAGGGUGCAAACGUUGUUCGGAAUUACUGGGCGUAAAGCGCAUGUAGGCGGUUCGUAAAGUCAGAUGUGAAAGGCCUGGGCUUAACCCAGGAAGUGCAUUUGAAACUCACGA